UACGAAGGGGGCGAGCGUUGUUCGGAUUUACUGGGCGUAAAGGGCGCGCAGGCGGUAGACCAAGUCAGGCGUGAAAGCCCCGGGCUCAACCUGGGAACUGCGUCUGGGACUGGUUUACUAGAGAUCGGGAGAGGAGAGUGGAAUUCCCAGUGUAGAGGUGAAAUUCGUAGAUAUUGGGAAGAACACCGGUGGCGAAGGCGGCUCUCUGGACCGAUACUGACGCUGAGGCGCGAAAGCGUGGGGAGCAAACAGGG
rnacentral:rRNA from 1 species